GUGAGUGGACGAGGUUGGGUAGCGAGCGGGCAGAAGCGGGGUAGCCUCCAGUCUGUUCCUCGCUCGCCUUGUUCAUAUCAAGUCGUCAUCAUCAUCGUCGUCGUCAUCAUUGUAGUCUUUCUGUGAUUGGUUGGGCCGCAUCGAAGCGAAACUCGAGACCAAAGCGCUUGAGGAAAAGUGGAGAUCGCUGAAACUGUGACGCACUUUCCAGAUAACUUGAGAACGCGAAGGUCGUGUCUGAGGAAAAGGAAAACGAACUCAUGCUAGACAAAAGAGAAGCGAUGUGCGUGAGUUCUUGUGGGUGAUAAACUGAACGCUGUCCCUUCCUUCUGCAUCGCCUACGUCAGACUCCUCGUCCUCCUCCUCCUCCUCGUCCUCGUCCAGCUGCCACGUCUCUCCCCGUUCUCGUCUCGUGGCCUCGGCGAGAUGUGAACGAGUCUCCCUUCUUCGUCCUCUCCUCGUCUGUUGCAAGCUCACGGCCACCAGCCAGC